rnacentral:ncRNA from 1 species
AUUUAAUCAAUUAAAUUUGAUUUUGGUUUAUCAUGAUUGGUUUUUUGAUAAUUUUAUAUACAAGUUUUUGCGUGUUUUAAGUUUAAUCUUAAAGAUUUUAUUUUUAUUUAUUUGUAGUUUUUAAAUUUGGUUAUUUUUAAUAAAUAAUUUUAUUUCCAGUUAAUUUAUUUUAGAGUUGUAAAAUUUUGUGCCAGCAUACGCGGUUAUACUUUUAACUCACAUCAAUUCUUUUGGUUUUAUAUUUAUAAAUUAUUUAUUUUGGGAUUUUUUUUAUUUUAUUAGGUGGAAUUUUUAAUUUAUUUUAUAUUCCCUUGGUUCUAGAUUAUGAGAAAUUUUGUUUUUAAACUAGGAUUAGAUACCCUAUUAUUCUUAAAUUUAAAAUUUUAACCAUGUUAUUACUAGUUAUGUUCUUUAAAUUAAAAAAAUUUGGCGGUAAUUUAGUCUUUUCAGAGGAACCUGUUCUUUAAUCGAUAAUCCACGAUGGAUUUUACUUAAUUUUUUGUUUUUAUAUCUCUGUCAUUGAAUGUUUUAUUAGAAUUAUUUUCUUUAAUUAUAAAUUUAUAUAAUGUCAGGUCAAGGUGAAGCUUAUAAUUAAGGUUGAAAUGGGUUACAUUUAAUUUUAUUUAUUGGAUUAAUUUGUUGAAAUACAAUUAUUAAAUUGGAUUUGAAAGUAAUAUUUAUUAUUUUAUAAUUAUGAUUUUAGCUCUAUGUUAUGUACACAUCGCCCGUCGCUCUCAUUUCAAGAUGAGAUAAGUCGUAACAAAGUAAUUUUACUGGAAAGUGAGGUUGGAAUUAUA